rnacentral:lncRNA from 1 species
AUUGGUCCAAACUCCAAUCAAAGAAUGGCACUCUCCAACCCCUCUCUCUUAUCUUCUUCCUGCUCUGUUUACAGACUCAAUCCACUUUUCUUUUCAUCCAAACGAUGUCGGUGCAUUGCUCUCUCCCACUCAAAUUUCGUCUAUCUCACGCGCAGGUUCUUCUCUACUACUGGCAAGCAAGCAACCUUACAUAACACCCCAAAAAGGACAAUUCAAAAGGUUAUCUUUUAUUACUGAAUAUUUUGAAUAUUAUUGUAAUUUCAGUUGCUACAGCUGAUAGUAGUGUAUUGACUUCGCCAGAAAUAGCAAAGUCGAUUGAUUUUAUAGCUGAGGAACAUAUAUAUUAUCACUAAAUGGUACUUAAGGAAGAAGAUGAUUGAAGGAAAAUGUGGAAGAAGUUUUUAUGUUCUUCUUGAGAGAAAAAUGUUUACAAUCAUAGUAUAUAUAGAUACAACACAAUACGUGCUCAACAAGCUCCCUAACAGAAUUGGAAAGAGAAAGAAUUUACAUAUUCUACAUACUUUCUCAACCGGCAUCUAUGGUAUAUUCUCUGUGCAAUUUUCUGUUCAUUUCACCUUCUAGAAUGCCUUGCUGGACAUGCUGAUUUGGUUUGUCCACGUUACAAUCCUGCUGAUAUGGUUUUUCCAUCUGGCAAUCCACGUUCGUUUCACUCUUCAACACCCCCCCGCAAGAAGGAGCGUGGAUGUCUUCAACUCCCAUCUUGGACAAAUGGGAGUAAAAAAUGUUUGAGCUCAAUGCCUUUGUCAUAAUGUCAGCAACUUGAUCAUUAGUCCUCAGAUGUUCUGUUACCACGCUUCCUUCUUGCACUUUAUCUCGAAUUAGAUGAUAGUCAAGUUCGAUGUGUUUCGUUCGCUCAUGAAAUACUGGAUUUGUAGCAAUAUGAAGCGCCGAUUUAUUAUCAAAAUAUACCAGUGUCGCUUGUGGGUGACAAACCGUUAGGUCUUUAAGCAAAAAUCGUAGCCAUGUUAGUUCACAUCAUGUAAUUUCCAUGGCUCUAUAUUCUGCGUCUGCAGAGAAUCUGGAAUCCGUGCCUUACUUCUUUGACUUCCAUGAAAUUAAAGAGGAUCCUAGAAAAAUACAGUAUCAUAUGAUGGACCUUCGAGUGUCUGGACAUGAGCCCCAAUCAGAGUCGCUGUAGGCUUGGAGUUGCAGUACUGAUGAAGAUGAAUACAUUAGUCCUUGUCCUGGGCUUCUUUUGAAAUAACGAAGUACUUUAUGUGCCGCAUUAAGAUGUGGAAUUCUGGGCUUAUCCAUGUACUGACUUAGGACCUGGACGGCAUAAGAUAUAUCAGGUCUAGUCACGGUUAGGUAGAGUAGUCUUCCAAUAAGCCUCCUUUACAUGGAUAGAACUUCAAGUAAUUCCCCUUGGUCUUUGGACAACUUGAUGUCUGGUCUAAGGGAACUCUUGCUAGUGUAGCCCCAAUUGUGCCUGAAUCUCCCAAUAUGUUUAAAGCGUAUUUUCUUUGGCAAACCAUGAUUCCUUCUUUUGACUUUGCUAUCUCAAUCCCAAGAAAGUAUUUCAAUACUCCCAAGUCCUUAAUCUUUGAUUCUUCAUUCAAUAGUUAUCUUAGAAUAUUGACAGAUUUCACGUCAUUGCUAGCCACAAUGAUAUCAUCCAUAUACACCAAGAUGGCAGUAAAUGACUUUCCUUGAAACUUAGUGAAUAAGCUGUAAUCAGCCUUUGACUGAACAAAUCCCAGGUUUGUAAUGAAGGUUGACAGCUUUGAAUACCAUUGGCGUGAAACUUGCUUCAAGCCAUAUAAACUUUGAGCAAUUUGCACACUUUUGGUCGAGAUGCCUUUGAGUAACCUGGUGGUAGUUCCAUAUAUACUUCUUCAUCUGAAUCCCCAUGUAAAAAUGCAUUAUUUGCAUCAAAUUGGUGUAGGAUCCAUUCUUUCAUGGCUGCCACCGCUAACAAAGUUCUGACAGUAACCAUCUUCGCAACCGAUGAAAAAGUUUCGUGGUAAUCUAGUCUUUCUUACUGGGUAUAUCCUUUGGCAACUAAUCAAGCCUUAUACCUCUCUACUGAUCCAUCCGAAUUGUAUUUGGUUUUGAAAACCCAUUUCCAUCCAAUGGUUGAUUUUCCAACCAGCAAAUCUGUGACAACCCAUGUGUGAUUUUGCUCAAGAGCAUCGAUUUCAUUUCGCAUAGCCUUGCACCAAUCUGGGGAUUCUAGUGCUUCACUAUAGUUCUGUGGUUCUAUAUGUGAUGUGAUAGAUGUAACAAAAGCUUUGUAUGCUUUGACAAUCUACGGUAACUAAUAGUUACUUCAAGUGUAAAAGGAUUACCUGAGGUUGGAUGAACCCUUUGCCCUUUUAAACUCUUGAACUUGGGUGGAUGGACUGGCUUGCGGCAUAUGAAAUUCUGCAAAUAUGAAGGUGUUUUUCUGAUUCUACUGGAUCAUCUUGGCAAAUGAGGGCUAGUAUUAGGUGUUAUGUUUUUGAUAGGCUUAAAGGACUUUGUGGUCUUGGUUCAGAUUCAUUUAUGGAGCUCAUAGGGCUUGAGUCAGCUGGUGAUGGUACAUCAAUGUUUGGUGUUAAAGUAUGAUUAUUUGGUGGUAUGUUAUCAAAGUUGAAAAUUCAGGGAACGUUCUACAACCACUUGAAAAUUCACAGGAAUACUUUACUAUGUCAAAUUCAAAUUUUAGCAUUACCAAGUUUACGUUCCAAUUUACCGUUUGACCUUACGUGCGGAAUUAAUACAAUUAAUUGUAACAAGUCACAAAUUAAUUUUUGUCUAGGUGAUUAAACGUACACGUCCAAUAAAGCCUAUGUUGAAUUGUCAGUUUGCGUAAAGUAAAUAAAACAAUAACAACACCAACUCACAAUAUGAUGACGGAAAAACCCCAACAUGGGUAAAACUCUGGGACCAAGCUAGUUGUUUCCACUAUACCAAUCCAGCCAGUACAAGUUAUGCCAAACUCUGUACCAAGUCAGACCCUCUGUUCCAGUCUCACGAUCUACUGCCGUAGCUAUUGCUAGUCUCUUGCUAGCUUCCUGAUCUACCUCCUACAGUCCAAUCUGCUGUCCAAUACAGCCUCCUGGUCUCUAGCUGAUUGUAUCACUAGGGUUGGCAACAGUUCGAUUAUGGGUUGGUUCGACCAAAAUCAUAACCGCACCACCAAUUUUUUGACAAUACCAUAACCACGUAAAUCGGUUCGGUUCGGUUAAUAACCACGAAAAUAAAUUAUUUUUUGUAAGUUCAUCCGUCAAAUUGAUAUAAAACAAUUUAUGAAAAAAAUCAAUGAAAACAAAAAUACAAUAUUCCAAAUGAAAAUGCAAACAUUAUCCCAAUUUUCAAUUGUAAAAUACAAAUUUAACAAACAAUAAUAUAAAUAUAACAAUACUAAACUUUUCCUUCAUUCUUAAUUGUUGUGCAUCGAAGUUACUUGAUUAAUUCUCCCCCACAAGUCUUACUAGCAUAGAUCAACACUCAAAGUUGAUUCCUAUAUAGUAAAUAAGAAAUGUAAGUAGAGAAUACAACGAUACUACUUAUUCCAGAAUGGUUUUAACUAAGAUUUAAAUAAAAAAAUGUACCUCUUCGUCAGCUUUCUUCUCGUUAAACGUUGCACAAGUUAUAGAGUAUGAUGAAGAAGUAGAAUUUUCUACACACAAUAGAAAAAAAUUAACAAUAAAAGGAGUUGUGCAUGAGUUUGUGAUUUGUGGAGAGUAGAGUUUGCAUUUAUAUACUGUCAUACUAAUAUUAUUAUUAUGGGCUAAUGGUAAGUGGGUUGGCCGGUUGAGUUAGGUAGAUGUAAUGGGGGGAUUUUGUUUUGGGCUAGAUAGAAAAGUAGUGUAAAGCCCAAUAAUCAAUUCAAUUUUUAUUUUUUUUUAACGGGUAAUCGGUUCGGUUUCGGUUCGAUGGCGUAAAUGCCAUACCCGCACCGCCACGAACUGGUUCAUUAAAGUAAAAACCAUAUCCACCCUAUUGCACCAUCGGUUCGGUUUUUUUGCCCCAUUCGGUUCGGUUAAUCGCUGUUUUCGAUUUUGACGGUUCAAAUUGUCAUCCCUAUGUAUUACCAAGUGGAAUUCCAAGAACCCCCUGUUCUUUUCCAGUUCCUGUGCUUGUCGUCCACCUCUCUCAAUCUCCCAAUAAGAGAGUCCCUUCCUCAACAGAUAAAGAAGUCCAGGUGUUUUAUCUUCACCAAUAGUGAUGUUUUCCCCAACAAUGGAUUGCCCGAAUCACAAGGUGUUUAAGGAUGAAUUCCUUGUUCAAUUCUGCCUUGGAUCACUUGAGAGAAUAUUGAAGAUGAUAGCUAUAUAAAGUACAAUAUGACAAUCUCUCUUUCACGUUCACGGACUUUGUAUUUAUAGUUGAGGGCAAUUAGGAGUCCUAGACCAUGUCAAACUUUUCAGAAAUCGAAAAUACAAUUUUUCAUAUAACACAGUCGCUAGAGCGAACAGCGAGCGACGCCACUUCGCUCGAGAGAACAUCGAGCGACGAGCGAGCGACGACCAUUAUGCUUCCUCUCGCAUAUAUAUAUAUAUACUUUUUUCUUUUAUGACGUGGGAACCCGCAACCGCUAUCCUUCAAGUCCAUACGAAGUAAACUCUCGGGUUGACGCAAUAGUCUGCAAACUACGCUCGUCAAGUAAAUCGCACUAGGCAAGCUCUGUGCGAUAGGCUCGGUCGAGAAAGUGUUAGUAGAGGGAAUCGAACUCGUGACCAAAGACUUCCGCGUUCACAAAAUUCAUCAACUCGACCACCCCAUGAGGGACAAUACACCCUGUAUAUUUCUUUCACCUUCAAGUUGUUGACAGCUUGGAACCAUAGUGCCAAAUUAGUCCCUUGUUUAGUCCAUAUUAAAUUAAAAUUUAUUUUUCUCUCUCAUAUUUUCAAUUACACAAUUUUUAUAAAAUAAUAUUACACGUAAAUCGAAAUUUUUUCCAUCCUUUUCAACUACUCGUUCUCCAAAACAAUAUUAUUCCUUCCAUUUUAAUUUAAAAAAAUGGGAGCCAAACGAGGGCGUAGACUCUAGGUAUUCCUUUCCAGUCGAGCCUCGUACAAAGUGGGGACCAAGCCGGGCCCAUGACCGUGACUGGUGGGGUCGUACCGGUAAAGAACUUAAGGGUUAAGGAAGUGCGGGAGAGUGGGUGUUGGAAAAAAUAAUAAGAAUAAAGGUGAGGACAGGAAUUUGUGGUGAUAUUGGGCAGAUAACAAAAGGCAUUGUACGGACCGGAAAACCUGGACAACCUGUGCGAUGGGUUUAAGCAUUGAUUCGUCGACUUAGUCUUCGGCUUUUUCCUUGAAAAGUAGAGCCCUUCCUUUUUUAUUGGGCUCACUUUUUGACUUACUUGGGAAUUAAUUUAUGUCAAGAGGAUAAAUUAAGGCUCCGUUUGGUACAUAUUAAUGUAAAAAUAAAAAUAAAAAAAUGAUCGUUACGGUUCCACACAAAAGAUAGAAAGUCAAAUACGAUGACUUGAUGUGAUGAAUAAUAAUUAUAUUUUUUAUUUUAAUAAACAAAUAAUAAAAAACAAACAGGAGCUAAAUUAUGAAUUUAAUAAAUAAUCGGCGCGUAAACUAUGAUAGGAGAGAAUGAAUAGUAAAAAGUAGUCUAAAAAAUAUUAAAGUGUUUCGAAACGUAGAGGCCAAGCUUUGGCAGCCUAAGCAAAGUCUAGGGGGGUAUCUGGAAGUUAUUUUUCAUUCUAAAAAAUUGAUUUUUUGACCAUCAUUUCACUAUUUCAGUCGUAAAGUUUGACUUCUUCUCUAACAAGUGGCCCCCGCUUAUCUUCUAACAGUCAAAAAAUUAAUUCUCAAAAUUGCUCCCAAACGGAGCCCUAGAUAUUAAAAAACCUAAAAAUAUAUUUUUAUUUUAAUAUUAUUUUAAAUCAAUCAAAAAAUUAUUUAAUAAUUAAAGAAAAAACAUAAAAAUGCAUUAAAUGCGUAAGAAAAGCACGACUAGGAGCGAAAAGAAUAAAAAUAAAUAAAAAGUGCGAGUUGAGGCAUUUUGCACUCGUUUCGUGCCUAGGUGUCGCUUUUAGAACACUUAUAAAAAGUAAUAUUAAAGAAAAUGGGCGAGUUCUUAAGCCUUUAAGCCGGUGCAAACGAAGGUUCAAAGCAAUAAUUUAGCCCUUGUUUGAUUUUCAUUACAUUACAUUACAUUCUAUUUUUCUCUCUCCUAUUUUCAACCACACAAUCUUCCAUAAAAUAAUAUUACACGUAAAUCGAAAAUUUUUCUUUCUUUUUCAACCACUCAUUUUUCAAAAAACACUAUUCUAUACAUUAAAUUUUCCCCGUAAUGGGGGCCAAACAGGGGCUUAAUCUCAUUUUCUUUUAACACUAUUCAUUAUUGACAAAUUAACAUGUUAUCGUUAAUGCUUUAAGAGAAAUUUUGAUCAAAAUUCAUCAAUAUCUUCUUUUUAAUUAUUUGCUCUUUUGUAGCACGAGCUCUCGGUUCGGUUUUUUUGCCCCAUUCGGUUCGGUUAAUCGCUGUUUUCGAUUUUGACGGUUCAAAUUGUCAUCCCUAUGUAUUACCAAGUGGAAUUCCAAGAACCCCCUGUUCUUUUCCAGUUCCUGUGCUUGUCGUCCACCUCUCUCAAUCUCCCAAUAAGAGAGUCCCUUCCUCAACAGAUAAAGAAGUCCAGGUGUUUUAUCUUCACCAAUAGUGAUGUUUUCCCCAACAAUGGAUUGCCCGAAUCACAAGGUGUUUAAGGAUGAAUUCCUUGUUCAAUUCUGCCUUGGAUCACUUGAGAGAAUAUUGAAGAUGAUAGCUAUAUAAAGUACAAUAUGACAAUCUCUCUUUCACGUUCACGGACUUUGUAUUUAUAGUUGAGGGCAAUUAGGAGUCCUAGACCAUGUCAAACUUUUCAGAAAUCGAAAAUACAAUUUUUCAUAUAACACAGUCGCUAGAGCGAACAGCGAGCGACGCCACUUCGCUCGAGAGAACAUCGAGCGACGAGCGAGCGACGACCAUUAUGCUUCCUCUCGCUCGAACGGUGGCAGGGCGAACAGCUAGUGAACUUUAGGCGUCGCGACCUUGAUUUGAACCAAACACUCAAACCCUAGUCCCUACCAUCUAGCUUUGUUAAAUUGCACCCUAAGUCUCUGACUUUUAUAACAUUGUACAAUUGAGUCCCUGACUUUUACAAAUUUACAAUUUAGUCCUUUUGUCCACAAAAUUGCCAAUUACACCUUUAGACCUAACAAACUCUCCCUUUGACAUUCUGUGACAAAACUCUACAAAUGAAGUCAGGACAAUAAAAAAUAAGUUAGGACUUGACAACCAAAAAUUAAAUUACCCAGUAAACCUAAUCACUGAGUCUUGCAUUCCUUCGUGUACCUGUUUCCUGAAAUCCACAAACUCAUAUACCCAAUGUAAAAGUACGUGAUACAAGAAAUAUAAAAAUUAGUUAAAACUCUUAAUCACAAGUCAACAUAACAGUUUGAGAUGUGAUAUUGAUACCAAUCAAAACACCAACCAAGACAUUAACACCACUAAAUAUCAAAACUCAAACAAAUGGAUGUGAUAUGGAAUGCAAUGCAACGCUCCCUCUUACUGUAAGCUUUCAUAUUUUUAUGCAGUAGGUAAAUGUAUCUAUGUCUCUCCCCAACGACCCCUAGACAUAGCAGUGCAAUGCAAGUGAUAACAAUCAAUGACGUCAUGUGCAUGCAUAUGCAGUCGCUCUCCUGUGUAUGCUCAAUUAUUUUUUUCUCCCCCUCAGUUACACAUUUCUCUCCCCCUUUUUGUCACAAAUGCUGAAGGGACAUACAUUAAGGCCAAGUCAAGCAAUAACACAUAAUAAUAAAAAAUGAAAUUGAUAGCAUGCAAAAGCAAAAUCAACAAGUAGUAUAACUCCCCACAUACUUAGUUCAGUCCAGAAUGAAGUAAUAAUAUAAGUGACUCAUGUGUGUAAAGUGUCACUCAUCCAAUGAAAGCAGGAUUCCAAACCUUAAUUUUGUGAGAAUGGAUAUGUCAAUCACUGCUAAUAAGUAUGUUCUCCUACUAAUGAGAGUCAAACCAUGUAACGCGUAGUAGGACCUAUACUUGUUAUUUUUACUUAUCUCCCCCUUACUAUGAGCUUAUUUAUUUUUCAAUUUUUCAAAGUAUUUCAACUCUUCAUAUUUUUCUCAUUUCUCCAGCUCAUUAAUUUUUCUUGUUAAGUGCAGGUUCUUCUACAUUAGGUGACUAAGAUGAUCCCUGUAGCGAGUUUUAGGUCGGUUAACCCAAGUCAGUUGACCAUAGGCACCAGGUUUUAAGAGACUCCGCAAGCUUAACUGCUCGAGUCAAAUAGACUCCGAAGAAGAACAUUAAGAUAUGAGCAUUUAAAAUUGGAGGAAAUUUUUGGGUUAAGGUCUACAGAAAUUGAUCAAUUCAUGUUCAAAGUCACCCCAUCAACAUGUGACAGCCAUCCCAAAUCUCACACAUGCGGUAGCGUCCCACUAACAAAUUCAUAGUGUGUGUAGUGCAGAUGGUACAUGAAGACACUUAUACAUAUUAAUCCAACUAGACCUAACCAAGUAAUGAAAAUUAUUCUACAACUUAUCAAUUUUAGCUCCUACAUGAUACAACGUGCAAGCUCUAAGUCAUGUGUCAUGUUGUAGAAAUUUUCAUAACCAACUAUUUUUGUCUUUUUCAAUGUUUUUGUGUUUUUUGUUUUUCUUAAAAUGAAUGCUCCACACACAAAAUAAAAUAAAGUCAAGCACACAAAGAUAAAAAUAAACAUGCAUGAGCCAAAACUCGUAGGUGAAAAUGCAUAUGCAUGAAAAACAACAAAACAAAAAUAAACAAUAUACAUAUGAUGCAUGCAACAACUAUAUGUCAAUUAAGAACCAAGCACGCAUAAAAAAUACCUAAUCAAGUAGGUAUAUAAGUUAUCUUUCCUUUAAGAGCACCACGAUCUCUAACCAAAUUUGGGAGAUUGUUUUUCUUUACCCAAACCUGUCUAGAGCGAGGAUUAUUUCCAGACAAAUGUGUCACCAAUUGAGUAAAACGAUUCACUUGAUCGGUAAGGAAUCCAAUCUGACCAACAGACACCUAAUUUUUGUUCUUUUUUGAGCUCAAGUCUUUCUUAUUGUUCAGGUAGUGAUGACAUUUAGGGCGGAUGUGACCUAACUCUCUACAGUGAAAACAUGUAGGAUAAACCUAGGACCUGCGAUAUGCUUACGCUGAUUUCUAUUCCUAGGCCGACGGGUCCUAUGACGUUUGGUAGACCUACGUCCUGAAGUUUCCACAACAUUUGGUAUGGGAUUAGUCACAAUGUUUGGCUGGUCAGUAACAUGAACAAAGGUGGUCUGUGAUGUACUAGCAACAUUCAGAUCAAAACCUAGACCUCCUUUAUUACCAGUAGGCUUGCCUAUUCCUAGAAUAUUAUCUAGCCUUUCAAAAUUGCUAGAAAAGGCAAGUAACUGAGACCUAGACAACUCCUGCUCACUCUCAAGGUGUUUAACCUGAAUAGCUAAGGUCUCAUUCACAAUGAUUAGCUCACUUACUCUUAAGAGGACAACUCAUUCUUACUGGUGAGAUCACUAACACGGGCCUCUAACUGUUCCUUCUCUAGCUUAAGCUCUUUCACUUUCUUGCUCAUUGCCUGGUUAGUGGCUAAGAUCUUGAGGCUUUCCUCAUACAUCCUAUCAUAGGCUGUUUCUAGAUCAUCCACACUUCCACUCUCAUCACCAGAAUCUUCACUACUAUCUAAGUCCUCAGUCCUUUCACUCCCUUGAUCGGAUCCACUUUUACCCCUAGCAACGAAGGUCACAUAUUUUCCACUCUCCUCACGGGUAAAUUUCUCACUCUGAUUUUCUGAGCUAGACUCGUCAUCAGUGAGAGUAGUAUUCAUAGCUUUCUCUUCAAAUCUUUUAGCACUAGGGCACUCAUUCCUCAAAUGAUCGAAAUCGAGAUAGUUAUGGGAUCUCACGGAUUUAGAUUUCGUCCUAGAUUCACUCGGGCCACCUCUUUGUCUCUCUUAAGGCUUCUUCUUAUUCCUAAACAUUUUUUGGAAUUUUUUAGUUAGGUAGGCCAUCUCCUUAUCAUUGGGUGAAUCAGAAUCAGAAGAUUCCAUCCGAAUAUUCCUAGCGAUUUUUAAGGCUAUGGAUUUUUCCUUAUUUGGAUUGUCUAAGGUCAAUUCAUAGGUCUAGAGGGAUCCAACUAACUCAUCUACCUUGAUAGUGUCUAUGUCCUUAUUCUCCUCAAUUGCCGUAACUUUAGGCCUAAAACGCUCAGGUAAGGAUCUAAGAAUCUUUUUCAUUAUCUUAGGCUCAGGGAUUUUCUCACCUAGGUUGAAGGACGAAUUUACUAUGUCAUUUAAGCUUGCAGAAAAGACAUCAAACAUCUCAUCGUCUCUUAUUCUUAUCUCUUCAAACCUAGUGGCCAACAUCUGCAGCUUAGAACUUUUAACUGCCUGAAUUCCCUCAUGUGUAGUUUCUAAAAUACCUCAAACUUCCUUUGCUACCUCACACAUGGACACUCUCUUAAACUCCUUGAGGAAAACUGCCAUAAAUAGGGCAUGGAGGGCUUUGCUAUUUAAAUUACAGCUAUCCAAUUGAGCUCUAGACCAGCUCUCGACAGGGGUGGGAGUGACUACACCAUCUAUUGUGAUACUAGUGGCUAACUAACCAUUUAUCACAAUCUGUCAAACACGCUCAUCUAAGGAUUUAAAAAACGCCCUCAUUCUCACUUUCCAAUACGCAUAAUUGUUCCCAUCAAAGUGGGGUGACACAUUCAUCGACAUACUCAUCUAGGCUAAUGUAAGGUCAGGAUUCGCACUUAGGCUCUGAUACCACUUGAAAGUUUAGGGAACGUUCUACAACCACUUGAAAAUUGACGGGAAUGCUUUACUAUGUCAAAUUCAAAUUUUAGCAUUACCAAGUUUACAUUCCAAUUUACCGUUUGACCUUACGCACGGAAUUAAUACAAUUAAUUGUAACAAGUCACAAAUUAAUUGUUGUCGAUGCGAUUAAAUAUACACGUCCAAUUAAGCCUAUGUUGAAUUGUCGAUUUGCGUAAAUUAAAUAAAAUAGUAACAACACCAACUCACAAUAUGAUGAUGGAGAAACCCCAACGUGGGUAAAACUUCGAGACCAAGCCAGUAGUUUCCACUAUACCAAUCCAGCCAAUACAAGUUAUGCCAAACUCCGUACCAAGUCAGAACCGCUAUUCCAGUCCCACGAUCUACUGUCGUAGAUACUGCUAGUCUCCUGCUAUCUUCCCGAUCUACCUCCUACAGCUCAAUCUGCUGUCCAAUACAGCUUCCUGGUCUCUAGCUGAUUGUAUCACCAAGUGAAAUUCCAAGAACCUCCUGUUCUUGUCCAGUUCCUACGCUUGUCGUCCACCUCUCUCAAUCUUCCAAUGAGAGAGUCCGUU